GUGAGGAAUAUUGGUCAAUGGGCGCAAGCCUGAACCAGCCAUGCCGCGUGCAGGACUACUGCCCUAAGGGUUGUAAACUGCUUUUGCGGGGGAAGAAAAAGCGCCACGCGUGGCGCCCCGACGGUACCCCGCGAAUAAGCAUCGGCUAACUCCGUGCCAGCAGCCGCGGUAAUACGGAGGAUGCAAGCGUUAUCCGGAUUUAUUAGGUUUAAAGGGUGCGUAGGCGGGGCUUUAAGUCAGCGGUGAAACCGCCCGGCUCAACCGGGCGCAUGCCGUUGAUACUGCAGCCCUUGAAUUCGGUCGAGGCAGGCGGAAUGUGUAAUGUAGCGGUGAAAUGCAUAGAUAUUACACAGAACACCGAUUGCGAAGGCAGCCUGCCGGGCCUGGAUUGACGCUGAUGCACGAAAGCGUGGGGAUCGAACAGGAUUAGAUACCCCUGUAGUCC
rnacentral:rRNA from 1 species